GGGAUAAAGACUGUGGUGGCACAACAGGCACCAAAGAUAGAUAAAAGCAAAAGAAUCAGAAAUGAGUAGCCAAGUAGGUACCUUGCACAAGCUAUGAGUUGAAUGACAGAUCCAAACAGAAGAAAAGUGCAGUUAAAUGCCAAACCCACGUUCCUCCAGUGUUUUCCAAGGAGACCAUCAAGAACUUCAAACCACUGCACAGUUUUAAAAGAAUAU